AGCGAACGCUGGCGGCAGGCCUAACACAUGCAAGUCGAACGAACUCUUCGGAGUUAGUGGCGGACGGGUGAGUAACACGUGGGAACGUGCCUUUAGGUUCGGAAUAACUCAGGGAAACUUGUGCUAAUACCGAAUGUGCCCUUCGGGGGAAAGAUUUAUCGCCUUUAGAGCGGCCCGCGUCUGAUUAGCUAGUUGGUGAGGUAAAGGCUCACCAAGGCGACGAUCAGUAGCUGGUCUGAGAGGAUGAUCAGCCACAUUGGGACUGAGACACGGCCCAAACUCCUACGGGAGGCAGCAGUGGGGAAUCUUGCGAAAUGGGCGAAAGCCUGACGCAGCCAGGCCGCGUGAAUGAUGAAGGUCUUAGGAUUGUAAAAUUCUUUCACCGGGGACGAUAAUGACGGUACCCGGAGAAGAAGCCCCGGCUAACUUCGUG
rnacentral:rRNA from 1 species